rnacentral:rRNA from 1 species
GGCACUGACUGCUAUGCGGAUUGGUACUAAGCCAUGUGAGUCGUUGUAGCAAUACAAGGCAUACGGCUCAGUAACACGUAGUCAAUCUAACCUAUGGACGGGGAUAACCUCGGGAAACUGAGGAUAAACCCCGAUAGAUCAUUAUGCCUGGAACGGUUUAUGGUCCAAAUGAUUCGUCGCCGUAGGGUGGGACUGCGGCCUAUCAGUUUGUUGGUGAGGUAAUGGCCCACCAAGACUAUUACAGGUACGGGCUCUGAGAGGAGAAGCCCGGAGAUGGGUACUGAGACACGGACCCAGGCCCUAUGGGGCGCAGCAGGCGAGAAACCUUUGCAAUGUGCGCAAGCACGACAAGGUUAAUCCGAGUGUUUCCUGCUAAAGGAAUCUUUUGUUAGUUGUAAAACCACUGAUGAAUAAGGGGUGGGCAAGUUCUGGUGUCAGCCGCCGCGGUAAAACCAGCACCUCAAGUGGUCAGGAUGAUUAUUGGGCCUAAAGCAUCCGUAGCCUGUUCUGUAAGUUUCCGGUUAAAUCCAUUAGCUCAACUAAUGGGCUGCCGAAAAUACUGCAGAACUAGGGAGUGGGAGAGGUAGACGGUACUCGGUAGGAAGGGGUAAAAUCCUUUGAUCUAUUGAUGACCACCUGUGGCGAAGGCGGUCUACCAGAACACGUCCGACGGUGAGGGAUGAAAGCUGGGGGAGCAAAACCCGGAUUAGAUACCCGGGGUAGCCCCAGCUGUAAACGAUGCAGACUCGGUGAUGCCCUGGCUUGUGGCCAGUGCAGUGCCGCAGGGAA